GGCACAGAAGGGACCGCAGGGGUCUUACGUGGGGCUCCCCAAAAGCAGGUCCUGGGACAAGGGCCCCUGAGCGGGAGAUUUAUUGAGGACCUGCUCCCAUUAGAAGCCAGUGGGAAAACUGAACAAGGAAGAAAGAAAGGGGAGGGGCCGAGACAGGGUGGAGCUUCAGCUUGACCUCAAGAGGGGCCCCACCUGAGGCCAAAGAGCUGAGCUUUCACUCCAGGCACCGGCUAAGGGUGGGAGGGCAGGGGAGGGCGGCACCUCCCAGGUGCUUGGAUUCUCUGGGCUGGGGCCGUGGACUCCACGGAGGCGAGGUCAGUCACUCCUCCCAGGAAGAGCUGCGGGAGCUGUGUGUAAAUGCAAAAGUAUGAGGGGGGGCAGAGGAGGGCACGCAGAUGGUGGAAGGACCCAGAGGGGGUUGGGAGAGCCCCAGCUACGCAUCACACUCCACAAAGCUUCCUCCCGCUUCCCCGAAGGAUCGCCCUGACGUGAGAAGGAGUUUCUUGAAGACUGCAGAGGGACAGCUCUCUGGCGUUUCAGUCAGGAUGGCCAGCCUGGAGAAAAGCGAGCUAUAAUUGCUUGGACAGUGGGUCAGCCUCCAGCCUUGCAAACUCCACUUGCCUCUGUGGUCCAACCUGGCCCCUGGUGGCUCUGGGGCCCCGGGCUGGUGGGUAGGAGAAGGACCAGGAAGCCUGGCAUCCCGCUGCAGCCUGAGAAGUGACCACUGCUGCUCAGGUCCAUGGGAAGGCAGAAAAAAAUGGAUCCCACGUGAAGGAAAAUUGAAGUGUGCCCAAAAGUUCAUCAGGACUUUCCUGUCUUCCCUCUCUGGGUUCCCGGCCGGCAAAAGUUGCAAGAACAUGUCUCCUUGUUUAAGCAAGGUCAUUGGCCCCAUGCCGGGAGCACCCAAACACAGUGAGGAGAAGACCAGCUGACAGUUGUGAAACAGACUGGGCCCUCCCAGGAGAAAUGUUGAUAGUUUAUAAUUUCACUCUCACUAGUCAUAAUUAUUUUAUUUUACGGAAGUUUAGUUGAUUUACAAUGUUGUGUUAAUUUCUGCUGUACAUCACAGUGAUUCAGUUAUACACAUAUAUACAUUCUUUUUCACAUUCUUUUCCAUUAUGGUUUAUCACAGGAUAUUGAGUAUAGUUCCCUGUGCUCUACAGUCAGAUUUUGUUGUUUAUCCAUUCUGUAUAUAAUAGUUUGCAUCCGCUAAUCCCAAACUCCCAGUCCAAGCUUCCCCCACCCCUUCCCCCUUGGCAACCACAAGUCUGUUCUGUAUGUCUGUGUGUCUGUUUCUGUUUUGUAGAUAAGUUCAUUUGCGCUAUAUUUUAGAUU